rnacentral:rRNA from 1 species
GAUUCUGGCUCAGGAUGAACGCUAGCUACAGGCUUAACACAUGCAAGUCGAGGGGCAGCGGGAUUGAAGCUUGCUUCAAUUGCCGGCGACCGGCGCACGGGUGAGUAACGCGUAUCCAACCCUCCGUACACUCAGGGAUAGCCUUUCGAAAGAAAGAUUAAUACCUGAUGGUAUGAUGAGAUUGCAUGGUAUCAUCAUUAAAGAUUUAUCGGUGUACGAUGGGGAUGCGUU